GGGAUUUCCAGAAGGGAAAAAGCAGCGCUUUCUCUCAAAGAUUUCAGUCUGGAAGAGAACACGUUUUGUAAACUAUAGGUCAAUUAACUGGGAUUUCCCGGAAGACUUGAAUAUCUAGAAAGGGAAGUGAUGAAAAGAACCAGAUCCCAGUGCUGAUUCAAGGACAGGGAAAAUCAAGAUAUGCCUUGUGGAAGAGGUGGCACCUGGCCUUUGCUUUGAAGGAAGAAGAUGGAGAUUUGGUGAGCUGUAGAAGAGAGGAAGCAUUCCAGAUAAUAGAGACCACUUGUUCAUGAAAUGACAUGGAAGGCAGGAGAUUAGGAAAGCUAACAAGCUUGUUUGAGUGAAAGAGUAUGAAGAAAUGCGAAAAGUAGGAAGGUUACAUUUUGUGUAUCAAGAAGAGGGUCAGAGACUUUCAGGGGUGGAGCCAAGAUGGAGGAAUAACUAGAGCAGCACCACCAUCUCACCACAAAAAUUCUCUCAGAACAAGAUUAAAAUAUUGCCACAAAACAAAUACAGGAGUGAAAGAACCAACAAAGAGACAGAAUGAAACAACCUUCAAAAAAAAAACCCAAAAGGUAGGCAGAGACCAUCUGGGGAAUUGAGGUGAGAGAGGAGCAGAGACAGAAGGAGGCAUAGCAAGCAGCAAGUGAAGAGCAAAUCAAGAGCAAACUACAACUCACCCCACCCCUCCCCCACAUCUUCCCUCACAGGUUCUGAAUUUAAGUCAAAGCUAAUAGUCAAACCCUGAGAUCCUACCAGAGCAAAUAGUGUCCAAGUCAACCCACACCCCUUGAAAUUUCAAACCUGUGGAGAAGUUUGGAGUCGUAGCCCAAGGCAAUCUGGGUGGAAGGGGGCUGAUCUGCGUGAGCCCAGAGUGAAGCCAGGAAGCCCAGUCUGGGCUUGGGAUGAGGACAUUAUCUACGAUUUGGGGUGAGGACACAGUUCUUAGGGGGAGCUGCCCCAGGAUCUUUCUGCCCAAAACUAAGUGUGGAGCUCCAGGACAGGGCAAUCAAAGGUGUGUCUGAUUGAAUCAAGAACACCUUGAGACCAAAAACUUGAGCCCAAGCCUGGGGCUAGAAUUUGAUCAGCCCCUAUCCCAAUCAAAUUCAGACUGAGAUCAAAAGUUUAUACCUAAGCCUGAGAAAAGUCUUUAAGCUAUCAGUAUCUCAAGGAUCAACUGAAUCAUCAGGGGGAGAGAACUGUCAGAGCUCUCAGCCCAUUAGUAAGAACCCUGAAAAGAGCAUCAAGGAAGGAAUGAAGCAUAAGAGGGAACUCCAACAUCUCAGAAAACAGAGCCUACCAAUAAUUAGAUAGGAAAAAUGAGCAAACAACAAAAAAGGCACCCCCAAAAAAAGAAUUUUUAUGGAGACAAAGAGCAAGAUGCAGACACAGAAGGGGACAGUGAAAGCAAAGGAAAACACACAAAGUGCAAAAGAAAAAUAUGGAUUGGACAAAGGAUCUGGAAGAGCUCAAAAGACUUCAAAAACCAAUUAGGAGAAGUAGAGGAAAAGUGGGGAAGAGAAAAGUGAUGCAAGAAUAGGGUUAAAGGUUUUUUCCUAAAACCAGAAAACAAGGAAUCUACACAAUGGAUGGCCUCAUGUGGAAAGCAACUGAUAUCCAACUCAAGAACAUGAAUGAAUGGAAAAAAGUCUUGAGUGUUUACAUACUGUAAAGAUAAUUUUAGGGUUGUGACUUAAAAAUCUAAAUUAAUUGGUCACCACACCAAGGAAAAAAUCCCAAAUAAAAUACUCAAGUCAGUCUGGAAA